rnacentral:rRNA from 1 species
AAUAGAUACCCUGGUAGUCCACGCCGUAAACGAUGAGUGCUAGGUGUUGGGGGGACCCCCCUCAGUGCCGCAGGUAACCCAAUAAGCACUCCGCCUGGGGAGUACGGUCGCAAGACUGAAACUCAAAGGAAUUGACGGGGGCCCGCACAAGCGGUGGAGCAUGUGGUUUAAUUCGAAGCAACGCGAAGAACCUUACCAGGGCUUGACAUCCCGCUGACCGGUGUAGAGAUAUGCCUUUCCCCUUCGGGGGACAGCGGUGACAGGUGGUGCAUGGUUGUCGUCAGCUCGUGUCGUGAGAUGUUGGGUUCAGUCCCGCAACGAGCGCAACCCUUGUUUCUAGUUGCCAGCACUUCGGGUGGGCACUCUAGAGAGACAGCCGGUGAAAGCCGGAGGAAGGUGGGGAUGACGUCAAAUCAUCAUGCCCCUUAUGUCCUGGGCUACACACGUGCUACAAUGGCUGGUACAAAGGGCAGCGAACCCGCGAGGGGGAGCCAAUCCCAAAAAACCAGUCUCAGUUCGGAUUGCAGGCUGCAACUCG